rnacentral:rRNA from 1 species
AUUGAACGCUGGCGGCAGGCCUAACACAUGCAAGUCGAACGAGUGGCGGACGGGUGAGUAAUGCCUAGGAAUCUGCCUGGUAGUGGGGGAUAACGUCCGGAAACGGGCGCUAAUACCGCAUACUAUCAGAUGAGCCUAGGUCGGAUUAGCUAGUUGGUGGGGUAAAGGCCUACCAAGGCGACGAUCCGUAACUGGUCUGAGAGGAUGAUCAGCCACACUGGAACUGAGACACGGUCCAGACUCCUACGGGAGGCAGCAGUGGGGAAUAGUGCACAAUGGGCGCAAGCCUGACGCAGCCAUGCCGCGUGUAUGAAGAAGGCCAUCGGGAUGUAAAGUACUUUCAGCGUGGAGGCGUUACCCGAAGAAGAAGCACCGGCUAACUACGAGCCAGCAGCCGAGGUAAUAC